rnacentral:rRNA from 1 species
GACGAACGCUGGCGGCGUGCCUAAUACAUGCAAGUCGAGCGAAGCGGCGGAUGGGCGACUAACGCGUGGGUAACCUGCCCUUAAAUCUGGGAUACCAUUUGGAAACAGAUGCUAAUACCGGAUACUAAAGGAUGGACCUGCGAUGCAUUAGCUAGUUGGUAAAGUAACGGCUUACCAAGGCGAUGAUCCAGAGCUGCUUGAACAGACUGAUCGGCCACAUUGGGACUGAGACACGGUCCAACCUCAUACGGGAGGCAGAAGUAGGGAAUCUUCCACAAUGGACGCAAGUCUGAUGGAGCAACGCCGCGUGAGUGAAGAAGGUUUUCGGAUCGUAAAGCUUUGUUGUUUGUGAAGCGGUAAUCAAUCAGAAAGUCAAGGCUAAAUACGUGACAGCAGCCGCGGUAAUUC